CUCCGCACAACUACAACCACCAAAACAUCAUUUCAAGGAACCAACCGCAAUCGCAAACAACAAACGGGUCGAUUGCGCCAUGUUCGGGCCCUCCGAACCGGGCUCGAUCCGACCCAGUUGGGUUGAGGAUCGAACUAUGCUGACUUCCUUACAGCAUCUAGAUUGCGAGAACUGUGCAGAGGAAACAUGGGAAGUUGCUGAAACUAAGAAAUACUGAAAGGUCUAGAAAAUGUGGAUAUCAUUCAGCUCCGAAAACAGGUUGAAUAUUUGCUUCCAAGUUUUUGUUCCGAGGAUUUGACAUCUGAUCAUGCAUAUAGAGGAGUGGUUUGUAAAUACUCCCUCUCUUAUACAUAACCGUGUAUCCUGUAUCUUGCUCUCUCUCGCUCGCUCGCUCUCCAUUUUUUUUUCGGGUUUUCUGCUUUCAGUUGUGAUGAGGUUUCACCCUGCACGCUAUUUUGUCUAUGUAAGAAGUAACAACAAUUGUGGGGUAGAUCUUGAAUCUUUUUUCCUGAGCUGUUUAAGCCUAGUUUUGGUUUGUAAACAGAGAGAAUAAGUGAAUGUGUUUCCCUGUACUUGUAUUACAAGCCUGUCAAUUUCGAGCUCUCUAUUAGUGGUGGUUUACUGCUGUUGAUUUUA